rnacentral:rRNA from 1 species
ACGAACGCUGGCGGCGUGCCUAACACCUGCAAGUCGAGCGGGGAUUUAAGUGGAAGUUCUUCGGAAUGGAGAUUUAAAUUCUAGCGGCGGACGGGUGAGUAACGCGUGAACAAUCUGUCCCGGACAGGGGGAUAACACUUGGAAACAGGUGCUAAUACCGCAUAAGACCACGGCCUCGCAUGGGGCUGAGGUAAAAGGAGCAAUCCGGUUCGGGGUGAGUUCGCGUCCGAUUAGCUAGUUGGUGAGGUAACGGCCCACCAAGGCGACGAUCGGUAGCCGGCCUGAGAGGGUGAACGGCCACAUUGGAACUGAGAGACGGUCCAAACUCCUACGGGAGGCAGCAGUGGGGAAUAUUGGGCAAUGGGCGAAAGCCUGACCCAGCAACGCCGCGUGAGGGAAGAAGGUUUUCGGAGUGUAAACCUCUGUCCUAUGGGACGAAGGAAGUGACGGUACCAUAGGAGGAAGCCCCGGCUAACUACGUG